GUGUUCUGUCAGAGUUAAGAUUUCUGUUAGUUAUAGCACCUCCUGGUGGCCGUUCUUGAUAAUUUCCUUAGCUGAUCACCUGUUCAUGUCAUGUGACUAGAGUCAGGAAGUGUUUUCUUCCGGCACACAUAGGAGUGGAUGGAAAUGAGUUAGCAGACAAGUAUGCAAAAAGAGGGGCUGCUAAAGAUGUAGUUGACUUUCCUGUGAAGUAUAGUAGAUCUGAAGUUACAACAAUAGUAAAAGAACGAAUGAAGAGGAAAUGGCAGAGACAAUGGGAUACUUGCUUGAAAGGUCGCUUCUAUUACUCAAGUCAAAGAAGUGUAGAGGGGAAUUUAGGAGAACAGGGCUGUUUAGGCCGGAAAGAGGAGGAUGUCUUGUCGGGCAUACAGGGCUGAAUAGCACUCUGAGAAAUAUUGGAAAACAUAAUACAGGGGAAUGUGAAUGCUGUAGAGUGGAGGAGACUGUUGAGCAUGUAUUGAUCUAUUGCCCCAAGUUUCAGCAGCAGAGAAGAAUAUUUAAGAGAAAAGUAAAAUCAAAUUCGAGGUCAGGGAAAUAUUGAGAAAUUUAUCAUUGAAACAUGUUGCUAAAGCAUUGCUUAUAUUUCUGGAAAGAACAGGUUUAAGAGAGAGGGUUUAAGGACUGCUAGGGCCUUCCUGCCCCACACUCCAUUCCAGAAGGUGGCGGUAAUGCACCUAAAAGUUGCGUGCCAACUGCCAUUAAACAAAAAGAAGAAGAAGUGUUUUGCCUCAGAGAGGAGAAUGUGGUCAGUAAGACAAGCUGAUGUUAUCUGCAUCCAUCUGCUCCAGCGUUUGAUUUUGUGGCAGCAUCGCCAUUUCACCCUUUUUUAGCCAAUAAACCUGUGGACAAACUUGGAUACGGUCUAUGGCAUCAUGGUGAAAAGAAAGUGUUUAGCUGACUGUUUAUGCAUCUUGAGUGCAGAGAAGACAGUACAGUGAAAUGGCAGCUGCGACGCAGACCGGAUAACGCAACGCAUACCAGAUGCAAACACCUCAGUCACACCACAGCCCUGACAAAACAGCCUUAUCGCUAUGGACGAUGGAUGAAGAGAAGACGUCCUCAUGGGGCUCCACCAGAGUUUCUACAGUGACUGCCGCGGCCAUGGCCAGAGCUAAAGUAGAGGCUGCCAAAGCACGCUUAUCCUUUGCAGAGAAAGAGAUGAAAAUGAAGCUGGAAAAGGCACGUUUAGAGGCAUCCAUUGAUAUGCUAAAACUAGAAAAGGAAGCAGCGGUUGCUACAGCAGAAGCAGUAGCAUUGGAGUCAGCUGCUGAUGCUCACAGCGAAUGUCAUAGUCUUCAACUUCAUGUACCUCCCUUUGAUCCAGCACAGCGCACGAGAGAAUACGUGGCUGAGCAGGCUAAGGAGCAUGAUAUCACAGAGUCAGCGCCAGACGCAUGUGCGUUCUCUACCCACGAAGAGGGUUUCAUGGAACCACAGCCUCCAUGUUCCUUUCAAACUCAUCUCAACGUAGAGAGUAACCGUUCUUCAGCUGAUGCCAACCAAGCCAUUGACCCCAAGCCUCAAACGUCCUACAGAAACACAGCUCAGAAGUCACACCAUGCUUCAGAUGCUCCAGACCCUUUCAGAAAAGAUCUAAGCGGCUUUGAAGGAAAGGGACCAGCAUUAAACAAGCCAAGGGUUUCACAAUCCCCUUAUUCCAGGCAUGACAACUCAGCUACUGAUUUUGCAAAGCACUUCACUUGAAGAGAGCUUGUCACUACUGGCUUGCUGAAAUUCAAUGACCUAGCAGAAAGUUAUAGAGCUUGGCGACGAACCUUUCUAAAUGCCAUUGCAGGCUUAGAUCUGACUGCUAGUGAAGAAAUAGACCUUCUAGUCAAAUGGUUGGGAAGAGAAUCAACUCUGCAUGCUGAACGAAUAAGGGUGGUCCAUAUUAAUGACCCGCUCAGAGGGCUACAGAUGAUCUGGGACAGAUUGGAUGAAUGCUAUGGUGUGCCAGAAGUAGUCGAGGCUGCUCUUUAUCGGCGCAUAGACAAUAUCCCCAGACUAUCAAACAAAGACUACUCAAAGCUUCGCAAGUUCAGUGAUCUCUUAAUGGAGCUAGAGUCAGUAAAGCUGGAGGGAGAUCUUCCAGGUCUCUCUUGUCUUGAUAUGGCACGUGUGUUAACCCUAUAGUCCAGAAAUUGCCAUACAGCCUACAGGAAAAGUGGCUCUCUGUUGGAUCCAGCUACAAGCAGCAAUAUCGGGUGUCCUUUCCUCCCUUUGCUGUGUUUGUUGAUUUCAUCAGCACUCAGGCGAGGAUCAGGAAUGAUCCAAGCUUCAAUCUUUCUGGUCAGGCUGAUGCUCACCUAAAAAUGGACAAGAUUCCAUGGAGGACUAACAGACAGAGAGAAAUCUCGGUUCAUAAAACAGAUGUAUCUUCUGAAGGCCAACUUGUUUUGGAUGAGCAUCCUAAGAACAUUGAAGAUCCUAAGAAACAGUGCCCUAUACACAAAAGGCCCCACUCAUUAGCAAAUGUCGUGCCUUCAGAGAGAAACCACUCGAUGAACGCAAAGCAUUCUUAAAAGAGAAUGGAAUAUGUUUUAAACGUUGCUCAUCCACAUCACACAUGGCCAGAACCUGCAAAAUGAGUGUAACUUGCUCUGAGUGCCAAAGUGAGAAACAUGUCUCCGCCCUCCACCCAGGAACACCACCCUGGUCCAAAGGCCAAGGCCCCUCCCCAGACCAUGGCAGGGAGGAAGACUCAAAGACAAGUUCAGAGUUUCACCCUUUUUUAGCCAAUAAACCUGUGGACAAACUUGGAUACGGUCUAUGGAGUCAUGGUGAAAAGAAGGUGCUUAGCUGACCGUUUAUGCAUCUUGAGUGCAGAGAAGACAGUACAGACGGUUAAGCGACAUUCUAAUUAUUAAUGUGUUGUUGCACAGCUAUUUGUUUAAUGACAAACUGUAAAUCACAGACUAUUUAGAUAGCAGAGUCUCGUGUUGAACAGGAAAAAGUGAAGGCAGUAAGUUUACUACAUUUUGAAAACAGAACCUCUGUUCAUAGGAGCCUCAUAUAUUGAGGUGUGUGACUCCAUUUGCAUGUUUAUUAGAGGAUGCAAAUAAGUGAAUAGAUAUACGGUAUCAUUGUUUAUCAUAGGCAUUUUUUCUGAAGUUUGAUGGAGAGCUAAAACUAAGUCACACAUUGUAAUACUUUUCUGCUACAAUGUAAAUGAGAAGAAUAAACUCCCACAACAUGAUCAAAGUAGUACUGGCAUGACAGCUAAAUAUAACAUUUCAAUUGCAGCACAGACAAGAUGGAGAAUAAAAUUCUCUCACUUAAUUUUGAACUGACUGCAGCCUUUAUUUCUUCAAGUGCUAAAAAAUAUAUAACUGGAACAGAAAAUAUUUCCGGUAUUACUUUGAAAUGAGCCUCUGUUGUUGAUGCUGACACUGUGAAGUCUUUCUGCAUCAUAGGUGUACCUGAUACUUGGUGUUCAGACUGCUUUAAGAUGAGUCAUACACGUUACAUUUUCGAUUUGCAUCUGCUGUUCAUUCACAAAAUAAUCACAUCACAAAAAACUAGACAUGUCACGUGCUGGCAUAUGAACCCAAGCAGCAGGCACAAACGAGUGGGUGAGAUUAACCCUUUAAGUCCCCCCAUUGUACAUGUCCGCCAGGACAUAUUUUUACAUUUUUACAUGCUGUAGUGUCAUUUUUUGGACUAUUUUUAUUUGCUUUACAUCAGAAUAACCCUUACAUCCCA